rnacentral:lncRNA from 1 species
GUGGUGAGCUAUUAAUCAUUUCCUCCGGCAGUGUGUAUAUAAGAGGAACCCAAGGCAGAGGCAGAGACAGUUCACCCAGCCCAAGGGCAGAGCUGACUUCACGAUGCUGGUCCAGGCAGUGGCUCUGCUGUGUCUCGGGAUGCUCUGCAGCUCCGCACCCUCGGGGGUCACCGGACCCACCGACCCAUCAGAGGAGCACUCCAGGGCUUUGGUAGGACUCAUCAUUCGAGAAGUUCUCUACGACAUGCAGAAACUCAAUUUAAAUGCAGUAAGUUCCUUUCUUUUGAAUGGCUUUCACCUGGCUGCCAGUCUGCCCCCAGUUUUAUUUUGAAGUCACUAACUUCUUUUUCUCUUGGGCAGGUUCCCAGCGUGGUAACUGUGAACGCUACGGUGGAGAGGUGCAUGCAGAGCCACCUGAGAACCUUUGCUGCCACCUUGGCAGGUCUCGACAAGCCAAGCAAAAUCAUCGCCCGAAAACUGGCCAGAGUCAACAUCUACAAAAGCAUCCUCCCCAAAGAUCUUGAUCAAGAGUGUAAGACUGCACACGUAACGAGCGAUGUGUUCCUGGAGACACUGGACAGCUUCUUGAGAAUGCUCUCUGAGAAAAUCCAACAGGCCUAACUACACCAACUACUCCAAAGCCAGGGGGAAACGAAGCACCUGAACUCUACUCCAACCAAAAUGUGAUGCAAUUGUUAACUUAUUCUCAGGAAUAUUUGCCAUAGAAUAUUUAUAUAGAGAGAUAUAUAUUUUGUGUAUAUAUUUGGUUUUAAAGUAUAUUUAUGCAUAUACAAAGUGAUGUUAUGACAGCAGCCAUGUCAUAAUGAUAGAAACAUGCCUGUCUGUUAAAAGACAAGUAUUUAAAAUAAUAUUUGUAUACAUUAAGUAUUUUUUUAUAUUUUAACUUAUGUCAUACUGAGUCACAAAGAAAGAGUAAUUUUAUUUAUUUAUUUAUUUAUUUAUUAUUUAUUCUAUUUAUUUAAUUCCUUUAUGAGUACACCUCCACCUCCCUCUCAGCCCCAGACCAACCCUGGGGCUGGAAAAGACUCCCUUUGCUUGUGAGCUCCCACCUCUGCUCCCUCCCUGGGUGGCCGGUUCCUGCAGAUAAUUUCAACCACUACAUGUUUUAUUAUUGACUAAGCAGGGCCACGUCACCCAAAUCCAACCAAAUUCUGGAUAAUACUAAAGCAAACAGGGCUCUGAUGGUCUUGUUUCCUUUUCCUUAAAGUUUAUUCACCUGAUAUGAGGUGUUUCCCACACCUGGUGUGAGCUGAGUUUUACUGAGCUGAAUCAGGCAAUACUUGUUUUUUUUCCAAUUGUUUAAGUAUCCAUACCUAUGGGAGGUGCCCAGAAAGUGUGUACCCAUGUAAAACUAUCAGUGUAGGUUCCCAAAGUUAAUAUUUAAUCAAACAAUAUUCAAGAGGAAUGUUACAGCUCGGGCUGGUUGGUAGGGGUGCAUGCCAUGUGUCGCCUACGCUGACUUACCCCUUACCAAAUGUUUGUAACCUUCCAUGAGAAGGCAAAUGGACC